AGCGAACGCUGGCGGCAGGCUUAACACAUGCAAGUCGAGCGGGCAUAGCAAUAUGUCAGCGGCAGACGGGUGAGUAACACGUGGGAACGUACCUUUUGGUUCGGAACAACUGAGGGAAACUUCAGCUAAUACCGGAUAAGCCCUUACGGGGAAAGAUUUAUCGCCGAAAGAUCGGCCCGCGUCUGAUUAGCUAGUUGGUGAGGUAAUGGCUCACCAAGGCGACGAUCAGUAGCUGGUCUGAGAGGAUGAUCAGCCACACUGGGACUGAGACACGGCCCAGACUCCUACGGGAGGCAG
rnacentral:rRNA from 1 species